rnacentral:rRNA from 1 species
AAGACCUUGCGCUUUUGGAGCGGCCGAUGCCUGAUUAGCUAGUUGGUGAGGUAAUGGCUCACCAAGGCGUCGAUCAGUAGUUGGUCUGAGAGGACGACCAGCCACACUGGGACUGAGACACGGCCCAGACUCCUACGGGAGGCAGCAGUGGGGAAUUUUGGACAAUGGGGGCAACCCUGAUCCAGCCAUGCCGCGUGAGUGAAGAAGGCCUUCGGGUUGUAAAGCUCUUUCAGCCGGAACGAAACGGUUACGGUUAACACCCGUGACUACUGACGGUACCGGAAGAAGAAGCACCGGCUAACUACGUGCCAGCAGCCGCGGUAAUACGUAGGGUGCGAGCGUUAAUCGGAAUUACUGGGCGUAAAGCGUGCGCAGGUGGUUUUGUAAGUCAGAUGUGAAAGCCCCGGGCUCAACCUGGGAACU